rnacentral:lncRNA from 12 species
UCCAGGGAGAGUUUGCACAACUAGCAAACUCCAAACCCAGGCUGCCAGCCUCAGCGUUAGAGCAGAUGACAUGGAAGCCAGGGCGGGUGCCCCCGAGACCUUGGGACCCCGGUCACCACCCCCUCAGGAGCCACCGUGU